AGGAGGGGAGUGGAGACAGGACCAGCAUUGACUGAGUAUCUGCCAAUCAUUUGGAGAGGGGCUGGGCACCUGCCCCUGUUUAUGUCUUCUGCUUCAGCACAGACCCCUUAACUGGAACCAGCUCUUUAGAGAGAACUGCCUGAUCUGUUUCUGGCCACAUCCUCUCUGAGCAAGGUCCUGGGCUACCGGUCACAUCCCCAGCAUGGGUACUUGGCUCUUAGCAGAAUAACUAGACAGGACACUAGGGAAAACCUGAGUCAUCCCCUCACCACCUCCAGGCCUUGAACUGCCAGGGCUUGUGGCCAAGAGUGCCCACCAGAGGAGGGGUUGGAAGAUGAACUUCCCACCUCACCCCCUCCUGCCCCUCCGUACACUCCCAAGUGGAAAUGAAAGCACCCCUGGAGUUAGCAGGACCUCAUGGCAUAGACC
rnacentral:lncRNA from 1 species